AUACGGAGGAUGCAAGCGUUAUCCGGAUUUAUUGGGUUUAAAGGGUGCGUAGGCGGUUUGCUAAGCGGGAGGUGAAAUGCCGGCGCUCAACGUCGGAAGUGCCUCCCGAACUGGUGGACUGGAAUGACUCUGCCGUGGGAGGAAUGUGGAGUGUAGCGGUGAAAUGCUUAGAGAUUACACAGAACACCGAUUGCGAAGGCAUCUCACGAAGGGUUGAUUGACGCUGAGGCACGAAAGCGUGGGGAUCAAACAGGAUUAGAUACCCUGGUAGUCCACGCAGUAAACGAUGAUGGCUAACCGCUGGUUUUUUCGGAUCAGUGGCCAAGCGAAAGCGAUAAGCCAUCCACCAGGGGAGUACGACCGCAAGGUUGAAACUCAAAUGAAUUGACGGGG
rnacentral:rRNA from 1 species